AGAAUUACAGGCCCCAAAGGGGAUAGGAACUUCACAGGAAGACCAGCAGAAUCAACUAACUUAAACCCUUGUGGCUCUCAGGGUCUGAGUCAUCAACCAAAGAAGAUACAUGCUGUAACACCACCAGGGAUUCCAGUCACUUUUAUAAAAAACAGCAUGCUAUUUCAUACAGGAGAUGGAAAAGCUAUCCCAUCCCUCAGGAGCCUGUAAUCCUCAGAGCUGCUUGUUGAAUCAUAAUCCUGGAGCAUAUCAUCAAGCUUUAUUCUACUGAACUGUAUCUCCAGUAUCGUACCCUGGU